UUCUCCAACUCAUUCAAGUACAACAUUUGGAGGCCCCAGCGAGAAACGCCAUGAGGAGAGAGCCGGGCUCCCCCGGAAGGACGGCCGGCUUGUGGGGGGUGCCACCUAAAAAAAAACCUUCAGGUCCUCGAAAAGUGACCGUCUUCCAGAGGAGAGCGGAUCGACUACCCGGCUGGCGACCACAGUCCUGUCUUUUCUGCCAGAAGCAAGUCAAGUGUUGUUACAAGAACAAGUGUGAAAA
rnacentral:lncRNA from 10 species